ensembl:lncRNA
GUGUGUAUGUGGUUUUAUUUUUCCUCUAACUGAUCCUUUUCAGGCUACUAGGGUACUUUACUGGGAAAAGAGUGGGAGGUCAGAUGUGAAAGGGUGGGUAUACAGGCGGGUUUGUAUGUAGAUGUAAAAUGUUCUAUCUCAUUGGAGAGUGUUCAAGUGCAGAAGUGAUUCUCUUUCAGAGCUCCACAGAAGCAAGAUAGCAGCACUCAAAGUUUACAAAUAUCCCAGAAUACCUGGCAGUCCCCCUGGGCUUUCAAGGUCAAGUCUUCAGUGAGCACCUGCGAAAGAGAUAAACUUUCCCAACAAAGCUCUCUGAGAGCAGAGAGAGAUUCAUUCUAAAAGCUAAAAAGCAGAUUUUGCCCACAUUCUCCACCAAGAAAUGUUGACGGUUUACGGGCUGGUAUGGCCCAGUUCUGUGACUGGCCGGGCAGAGGGAUCUGCAGAUCCACACUUCUGGAAAGGGGAAACAGGGAACCCCAAAAUAAUUAAAAACAGUGGCAACAAUCUGAGGAGAAACAAACUCAUUUACUAAAUAUGGUAUUGGAAUGCAACACACUAUAAUACAAUAUACUUAGAACUGAAGCUAAUAAAUCAAAUGUAAUGAGAGAAAGAGUGUCUGAGAACUGAAGGCCUCUCCAUACGCUGAGGUGAGAUGUGCAGUCAGGCGAGCAGCAUGGAGGAGAGCUUAAGGAAAAAGGGGACAUCAGGUGACUUUGCCAGAGGUUAUAUCUCCUCUCUGACUGCAAAGCUCCCUGGAGAAUGUAGUUCUUGUCUUCCAGACAGGUGCCUGGAACUGGAGUGUUAACACAGUAACUUCCAGUGCACUACAUGAUGUUAUGAUGUGGAAUACCAGUAACAAUCACAAAAAAUCAUAAAACCAUGACAAUAUUUCAUUAAGAUCUUUAGAGAAACAGAAUCAAAUAAUAGCUAUAUAUCAGCAGAAGUUUACCUUUAGAGUCUUAUGUUAUGAGCGUAUAUAUGGACAGUGUAAUAUAUACAUAGUGAUUUAGAGGAAUUUCAGAACAGCUCUGUACUGUAGGUUGAAGUCUAAAUUGACUUAAUUUCCACAUUUCUAGAAUAACAAGUGUUCUUAUUUGCAAAGGUUUAAAAUAGAGAGGCUCCUUACAGUGUUAAAAAAGAUGUGAAGGACCUUUAGUGUGAUUAAAAUUGGUAUCAAUAUGUACUCUAAUGUGAGACUAGCUUGUUAUAUUCCACAGCAUCAUAUGUUUUGAUGCUAAGAAUGCAUUGAAAGGAGGGCAACAAAUACAGUAAAAAGUUUAGAGGCUAUAACUUAUGAGGAAUGCUUGAAGAUAUUUGGUUAGUUCACCUUACAGAAGAAGAGACCAAGGGAAGACAUCAUGGUCUACAACUUCUUCCUUGUGGGGGGUGGAGAGGGAGGCACUGAUCUCUCUGGUGAAAGCAAUAGGACUAGAGGGAGUAACUUAGGGUGUACUGAGGAAAUUCACACUGAGUGUUAGGAAGCUUCUUCACUAGAAGGGUGGUCAAGUGCUGGAACAGGCUUUCCAGAGAAGUGAUCGCAGCACCAGCAAUGUCAGUGUUCAAGAACAAUCUGGACAAUGCUUUGAGAUCACAGAAUGGCAGGGUUUGGAAGGGACCUGUUGUGAUCACCUAGUUGAUCCCCUGCUAAAGCAACUUCCUUAGAGAGGGCUGCACAGGAAAGAGUCCAGGAAGGUCAUGAAUAUCUCCAGAAAAGGAGACUUCGCUACUUCUAUGGACAACCUGUUCCAGUGCUCUGUUACCCCCAAAGCAAAGGAGUUCUUCCUCAUGUUUAGAUGUGUUCCAGUUUGUGCCCUUUUCCCUUUGUCCUAUUCCUUGGCACCAGUGAAAAGAGCCUGGCUCCAUCCUUUUCACACUUGCCCAUAUUUAUUGGUGUAGAUACCCUCUCAGUUUUCUCUUUUCCAGGCUCAACAGUCCCAGAUCUUUCAGCCUUUCCUCAUAAGGGAGGUGCUUAAUCAUCUUUGUUGCCCUCUGCUGGACUCUUUCUUGUAGUCCUCUCUUUCUGGAAUUGAUGAGCCGGGAACUGGACACAGAACCCCAGAUUUGGCCUCAGCAGGGCAAUGUGGAGGGGGAAGAGAAGCUCCUAUGUUAAAUGGUUUAACUGUUAGGUUGCCCUGUGUAGAGUCAGAAGUUGUACUCAGUGAUGCUAAUGGAUCCCUUCCAUCUCAGUAUAUUCAAUAGUUCUCUAAUUCCUGUUAUGAGUUUACUGAUUUUCUUCCAAACACAAUUUUUUUUCUAUAUUAAUAACAAUGCAUUGUAAUGCAAAGUUAGAGUGAACAAUUUAUGUUUAACAAGCUCCUUCUUCUCAAUUUUGAACAAACUAUGAUUUUUUAAAGCAUUAUUUUGUAUAUAUAUUUUUUCAGACUAUUACAAGUAGUGGUGUUAGCACAUGCUAACCUGUUUCUCAGGUCUUUUCAUUCCCUUUGUCUACCCUUUUUUCUUCCUCUCAACUUUUUUUGUUGUUGUUUUUAAAAAGAAAAUACACAGAAAUUCCCAAGGAAAGACAAUUGCUGUAGUGGCAGAUAGAAUAUGCAUUAAGCUAUAAACCUAUUAAACAGAAUAGUGAAUAAAAUGUUUUUUGAAGUAUCUUGUGAUACGUUAUUGGUUUCUCUUUAUCCUCUCUUAU